UGAUUGGUGGGUGUUGCUUUGUGACUGGUUUUGGCUGACCAGAGGAUGCAUCCUUCAGCUGGUUAGGAGAGGGGCAGAAUCUCUGGCUGACUGGCCCUCAGCACACAAAGCUUUCUGCCUCAGAAGCUGGGAUGAAGAGAUGAAGCCCCAAAUCCCCUGUGGUCCUCGUUUUGCACACUACUGUUCAACUCCUACAUUUCUGUGAUUUGCAUUCCCCCGUGAAGCAGCCAAAUGAAUAAACAUUAAAGAUGGAGACCGACAGCAAUAUUCUUGCUAAAGAAGCUCUCUCUUUCAAAAAUCAAUGAGGGAGGACAGCCACGCAGCUGACAGAAAGUCAAUGGUAUCAUGGAAAAACAUCUAAUCUCCUGCAGGUUUGCCACCUCUUUAUGCUAUCCAGCAGGGAGCAGCCUGAGCUCACCUCACCAGAGCCCAGCUUCUGCUUAGUUAUUUUGGAAGAGCUAGGACAUGUUCAUAUAAUUCCAGCUGCACUGAGGCACAUCACUGGCUACUUAGAGCUCCAGCUUCACAAACCAGUGUAGAAAUAAUAGUCCUUACAGCAUCAUUUCUAAUGGACUUGUGAAAAUAGAUUAGGUACGUUGAGUUCAGGCAAAAAAUAAAAGCAUUUAUUGAUAUGUUUUGUUUUGGGCAAACAGUCUGUUCCUUUGAUACAUCUUACUACUGAGUUUCAAAGAAAUCAAAUAGAUGACGCUGUGAAGAAAACGAUUUGUUAAAAAUUAAGCCUUUUUCUUUGGAGAUUCAAGUUGAAAGAACAUCUCUGUGGACUGUGCCUAAUCAAAACCUUUGAACACUAUCAGGCAUGCCCCAUUAGGGUUGCCAGCUUUCCAAAACAAAUUACUUACAGUAAUCCCUUGCUUGAUGUAUGCUGUAAAAGACAAUAGUUCAGCUUGACAACACUGUCAUUGCAUGAGAUUUAUACUGUGCAGCUGAGCAAACCUCAAUUUAUACUUUAUAUCACAAAGUGGCCAUGAACUCCACUUCAAGACAAACGGUAUUAAAACUAUCAAACUUACUUAACAUAACUGGCCGGGUUCUCAGUGCUUCUGGUCCAGCUCUGUUAGUUUGAGCAGAGCUGUACUUAUUUACACCUGAUGACAAUUUGGCCAUAAUAAACAUUCCCUUCCUCCCCAGGGUCUAGAACUUUAAAAACUGAUGUUAUCACUAGGAACUGUCAAUGGACGAGGCAGCAGUGAAAAGAGUAAAUUCAUUCACAUGCACUGCAGUUGAUUACAUUUAUUAAGUUGUAGUUGUAAGAGUCUUUAACAGGGGUAAAACAACACAGUCCCACUGAAAGUAAUGCAGCAUUUCCAUCCGUUCUUUCUAGUUUUUGGCUUUCAUCACUGUGUACUUAAGCUCAUUUCUUACACAAUUAUUUUCUUUAUGUAAUGAGCUUGAUCUUGUUUAAUUCAUUCCGUGACCAGUCAUUUGGAUCAUCACAAAGGCUUCUUAAUGUCAUUAAAACAUUCAAUUGGAUCAUAAAAUAAUUCAGAAUUAAAUGAAGCACGGUAACUUAAAUUAUUCUGUAACUUUCAACUGUGCAAAUGUAGUGAAGGGACUGUGUAUUUGAUAGUAAUUGGAAUGGAGUUAAGUCAUCUUCUAACAAAAAUAAAUAAAUAAAUAAAUAAA